GUGGAUUUAAUUUAUUACGAAGAAAGCGAGUCCUCAUGCGGAAAUUAUUACGAAAUUCUAGAUUAUAUAUAUGCCCUGCGACAAUUAAAUAGAGCCGGUGUCCCAGGAUUUUCGCCCCCCCUACAUUUUCGCCCCCCGGGGGGCGAAUUUCCUAGGAAUAUCGCCCCCCCAGGGGGGCGAAAAUCCUAGGAAUUUCGCCCCCCUUUAGGAAAUUCGCCCCCCUUUAGAAACUUCACCUUUUCUUUAGGAUUUUCAAAUUUACAAUUACAUGUAUCGAAGGGCUUACACAGUUUAAUACAGUAGAUCAAUAGGACUUAUGACGCUUCACAGCACACCAUGCAUAUUUUGCAUUUUCAGUGUUAAUCCUUAAACUCAUUGUUAAAAAGUAAUCACCGUGGUGGUUAUUGUAAUUAUUGGUAUUGUUUUGCAUCCACGUUUUGUCGUUAUCGGAAAAUGUAUGGUUUGUCACUAUUUUUUACUUGCAUUAUUUCAAUAUAGUUUGUAAAUCUCAGAAGCGAAGGGUAGAACUUGCCAAUAGGCAAUAAUCCAAUAAUAUACGUUUCAAAAAAGACAAGAAAGCUUUUAGUUUAGCAGAGUUAAUUCUCAAAUGUUUAAGGCAUGCACCAAUAAAAUCAAAGUAUCAUGAAAUUAUUUGAAUAAACCACACCACAUAUAUAAUGCAAUUUUCUUUGCGAAAGUGAAGAAUCAAGAUUACAUCACUGACACGGAAAGUUGACGAUUCAACGGACAAUAAUCAAUACGCUUCCCAACACAUUCCAUAGAUUUUUAACUAAUCCUAUAGUUUAUUGUUAGCAAG